CUUAAUAAAUGACUUAGACAGUAUUUAUGGUUCAGUAGUUUAUUUUAUUUGAAUUCAUAUGGUUUUAUGAAUGUAAUAAAGUUUAUGGAGUUUUAUAAGUUAAAAAUAAUUUUCUACCCCUCGUGGUAGCGUGUUUUAAAAGAAAAUGGUUUCCGUGCGGGAAACGGUUUUAAAAAGGGAAUUUCUGAUUUUUCUGGUUCUUAGUAUUUCAAAACGAGUUUUCGAGUAGGAAAUAUUUUUAAACUAAUAGAUAUGAACUUAUGAAUAUUAGUGAUGAACUGAAUGUGGAUGUGAUUGGUGUAUGAAUAUGUGGAUGUUCAUUUGUUAUGGUUGUAUCUUGUACUUGUGCGACGCUGUGCA
rnacentral:lncRNA from 1 species